AUGACCUUUGUUUGGGGAUUAUGCUCGCUCACUUUAAAUUCUCCACCCAUCUUCAAUAAUUUGAUGAACUUCGUUACUACUUCGAGAAGAAAAUGUAUUCAGCUACACGAGCUUUCCUUAAAUUUUUGGUUGUAUCGUCACAUCUGUGCCAGACAUGCUUUAUUACACAGGACAACAAUAGCAAUUAUAUAUAAUUUUUAUUUAAUAGCAAUUUACAUUUACUAG